GCAUCGUUCCUUCUGGUUGCUUUUCUUAUGUUCAUACUCAAAUUUACUUCCCAGUACAAUUUGAAUAUAUUAAAUAUAUUAUACUUCCGUAUAAUCACAAGUAAAACAAGAAAANCAUAUGAACAGAACUUAUAUUGAACAGGAAAAAUUACAUCAAGUGUCAGCCAUUACAAUCAAUUCCAACGAACAAAAAUUUAGCCUAUCCUAGACAUCACAAACGUACUCAUUUCAGCAAUUCCUUGCAUCAUGUGUAGUCUUGAUGUCUUCAGAGAGUCUUCUAAUGGUCUUCUGAGGGUAUCUAGAGCAGUUCUCUAUUUUUUUCUUAUGUCCGAAGAUCCCUCUGNCUGUCUCUCACGUCUCUUUAAGAACCAGUUAAUUUUCAUUAACUUUCACCAUUCGCUCAACGCACAGAGGCAGAUUCGNUGUGCGAAUUUCAUUUUCUUGUUGCUCUUCAACUGCUGCCAUUCGCUUAGCGCACAUAGUCUGGUGCGCCCUGCGGAUUUUAAAUUUGUAUUAUGUAGCAAUUCGCUAAGCGCACAUUAUUUGGUGCGCUAUGCGAAUAUUAAAUUUCUGCCCUCUUUUCUGAAAUAAUUCGCUCAGGGCACAGUAUGGGUGCGCUCUGCGAAUUUUGUUUUCCUGACUCUUCUAAUUUGCUUGCGCUCUGCNAGAAUUGGCUGACAGCUUCCCAUUUAUACAUCUUUUCCUGAANAAUUAUUUUUUGUAACAAUCUACUUCCUAUUACAACUUUUCACUGAGUAAAAACAUAAAUAAUUACAAGAUUGAGAUAAUUUAUAAAUGUAAAAACAACUGUUUUUCACACUUAUCA
rnacentral:lncRNA from 1 species